AUUUGGGUAGUUUAUUUAGAAUAUGACGUUGAAAGCGUCAAGGCGUCUUCUCCAAAUG
rnacentral:tRNA from 1 species